CACAAGUUAUGGGAAGAACUAUAAGGAAUGUCACCUCAAUGUCACUGCAGUGAAGGAUCGACCCGAACCUGAGACAUCGAGUGACACCAGACUGAGAAGAGAUCCUCGGGGAAGGAUCGGCCUCUACUGUGCACUGGGACUGACAGCAGCUCUACUGGUUCCUUUAUUUUAUCUCUGCUUUGCAAACAAGACCAGUGAUCAGCAGAACAAACGAUAACCCAGCAUUGCUCCUGUAGCUGUGACCACAGAGUGAGAAUGGAGUGAAUAUUAGUUACUGACGGCAGGAAGCUGCUCAUCAGUGUGAGAGUGGUUGAAUGAUGUGUGUGUGUGUGUAUAUAUAUAUAUAUAUUUAUAUUUAUAUUUAUAUACCGGUUUAAUUUUUGUGUUCUCUGACUGAGAUUCAAAGGAAAUCCACAGUCUUUACAGACUGAAGUUUUUUUUUGUUCUAGACCUUCAGCUCCUCUAACAGAGACUCUGACUACUGAACAUAUUCUGCAUUAAGCAUCGUGCUGCUCGUCAUCAAAGACUAAUGUUUAUUCUGGUUCCUGAUCAUAAAGAAAAGGAGAAGCCAUAAAGCCUGUAUGAAGAGAAAUAGAUCCUCACGCUGCCUCAAUAUUGCAUUUUGCACAUAAUGCGAUUAAUCGUUGUUAACCACAGAAAAAUAAUAAUAAUUCAACUUCUUCCUUUCCCUAACAUUAAUACAUACCAAUUCCUAUUUGU